CCUAUUAAAGUCGUAUGGGC
rnacentral:siRNA from 1 species